CGAGUCCCAAACAGGACGAAACGCGCGUC
rfam:Schistosoma mattheei strain Denwood, Zambia genome assembly, scaffold: SMTD_scaffold0000009